rnacentral:rRNA from 1 species
AGUGAACGCUGGCGGUAGGCCUAACACAUGCAAGUCGAACGGCAGCACAGGAGAGCUUGCUCUCUGGGUGGCGAGUGGCGGACGGGUGAGGAAUACAUCGGAAUCUACUUUUUCGUGGGGGAUAACGUAGGGAAACUUACGCUAAUACCGCAUACGACCUACGGGUGAAAGCAGGGGACCUUCGGGCCUUGCGCGAUUGAAUGAGCCGAGGUCGGAUUAGCUAGUUGGCGGGGUAAAGGCCCACCAAGGCGACGAUCCGUAGCUGGUCUGAGAGGAUGAUCAGCCACACUGGAACUGAGACACGGUCCAGACUCCUACGGGAGGCAGCAGUGGGGAAUAUUGGACAAUGGGCGCAAGCCUGAUCCAGCCAUACCGCGUGGGUGAAGAAGGCCUUCGGGUUGUAAAGCCCUUUUGUUGGGAAAGAAAUCCAGCUGGCUAAUACCCGGUUGGGAUGACGGUACCCAUAGAAUAAGCACCGGCUAACUUCGUGCCAGCCGCCGCAGUAA